CUGGGACUGGCCAGCUGCUCAAAAAGUUAUACUACUCCUUAAGUACGGCCUAAUGAGAAUUGGUGAAUAAGAGGCAGUCUUUGGAUCUGCAGUUGUCGUGUCGGGGAUAUCCAUCACCACCGAAGAGGAAGGCAUACCAAUCAGAAGAGCUUCACUCUCAACUCUCCCUAAGGUACCUUGGUUUCUGCUAUGAUAUUGAAGAACAAAUCAAGG
rnacentral:lncRNA from 1 species